CGCGCAGCCGUGAUCCCAGGCCGAUGGGCGAGCGAGGCCAACGAGUUUCCAGCGGCGGGGGCUGGGACGGCGCCAGCGGGUGGUGGAGAGCGCGGCCCUGGGACCCCGGAGCCCCUUUACCCAGCAAACCAGGGCAAGAGGGGGGUGGACCCCCAGUAAUGCCGGGGUCUCCCCGAACUGGGCGGAAGCUGGGGGUUUGCUCCUGGUUCUGCGAGAGGGAGAAAUAAUUUUGUCGGGGCACGCGUGCUGCGAGGGCAGGAGGAAAAUAAAAUCUGCCACCUGGUGUAAGGAAGCUCCAAGAGGGAUGGCUGCUUCC
ensembl:lncRNA